CCCCACCCUCUCAUCCUCCCUCCCUCCCCCGACCGAUUUUGACGACUCCUUUGACCUCUCGCGCUGUCCCUCCCNNNNNNCGCCCCGCCUGCGUCGCCGCGCCAAGCUCCAGGCGCCCCCGCCCCCUGGUCGGUGGAUUCCAUGGCCAACAGCAACCUCCCCCGCCGGAUCAUCAAGGAGACGCAGCGGCUGCUCAGCGAACCAGCGCCGGGGAUCAGCGCCUCGCCGUCGGAGGAGAACAUGCGCUACUUCAAUGUCAUGGUCCUUGGCCCCGCGCAGUCGCCCUACGAAGGUGGAGUCUUCAAGCUUGAACUUUUCUUACCCGAGGAAUAUCCGAUGGCUGCUCCUAAAGUUAGGUUUCUCACAAAAAUAUACCAUCCCAACAUUGACAAGCUUGGUAGAAUAUGCCUCGACAUCCUAAAGGACAAGUGGAGUCCAGCUCUUCAGAUACGCACUGUUCUUCUUAGCAUUCAGGCACUGCUGAGCGCCCCAAACCCAGAUGAUCCCCUCUCAGAAAACGUCGCAAAACACUGGAAAUCCAAUGAAGCUGAAGCUGUUGAGACAGCGAAGGAAUGGACUCGUAUGUAUGCCAGUGGCGCAUGACAAGCUAACGCUGUUAUGGAUGUAAUAACACCGUGUCAUAGUUGGGCCUAAUCGAAAACCAUUUGCUUGAUAAAAACACACUUGAAAUGAUUUGCGAUGGACGAAUGUAUCCAGAGUGGCAUCAUUUCUAGUUGGUGGUUGUAUUUGUGGUGCGUGUUCUGGCACGCUUCAUAACUUGCUGCUUAUAGAACAUGCUCUGUUUCUCGUUCAUCUUCAAUUGUUUCUCCAAUUAAAAAUAUCUGUUAUGAUCCGAGUAUGUAAUCUCUCCAAAUGAUAAUAGUGGCUCUCUGUUUGUAUUUCUCCC
rnacentral:rRNA from 1 species